AAGUCGGAAGAGAGAGGGGGUGUGUCACUUUGUCUGACAGCUGACUACCCUUGGGACGUUACUUUUCGCCUUUCAUUGUAUACAUUUUUGGUACACAAUGCCUGCAAAGAAGAAACAGUUUGCCUAUAACAUUAGCAGGAAGAGGAGAAGGAACAUAGAAGCAAUGAUAAGGGCUAAACAAGCAAAGAGAGCACAGCUGCUGUGGGUGGUGACGCCGCCACGAUGCUAGUACCACCACCCUCCUCUCAAGACCUGUCCUUGUUCACUGCUACUGAACUAUUGGAUAUUUCAUGUUCAGAAACAAGGAAGACAAAAUAUAGGAGCAUCACCUUUGCCCAACAGGUGAUAAAUCCUGGUGUUUCUACCAGAAAGCAGCAGCAGCAGACCUUCCUCCACCGUCUCACACCAAGAUGAAAGUGCACUUCCAACUUGAACCUGCAUACAUGGAGGUGCAUAAUGUCUACAAAGACCUAACAUCAGAUGAAAUGAUGCAGCGUUGUAUAAAAGGCAGAACGCAAAACUCUAAUGAAAGUCUGCAUCACCGCAUAUGGUCUUACAGCAAUAAAGCCAAAUAUCAAACUAAGAGGCAUGCUGAUUUCGCAGUCAGCCAUGCUGUUGCUGACUACAAUAGUGGAUAUGUGAGGAGCUGUCUGGACACAGCACUGGGCUACAGACGUUCAGCAGUGACUCAAGCACAACUUGAAUUAAUGGAGAAGCAGAUGAAGGAAAAACGGAACCGAGGUGGAAAGAAGAGGAAAAGGGAGGUGGACACGUCCUACGAGCCUGGAGGACAUUAGAUAAUCGUGUCCACCAAUAUCCAGUCAUAGAUUGAUUGGGAUGGAUUUUUAUGAUUGGCCGGCCACCAGAGAACUUCAGGAUAAAGGGAUCUUCAUGGAACUUCAGGAAUAAUGUCUAUAUAACCAGUUCUACUCUCAAUAAACGUAUAAAGGCA